ACUUCACCAUCAAGAAUAGCUCUACGGUGGUGCACACAACAAAGGAAUUUCGUCGCCUUUGAGGGGCUGUGCGGUGCCCCCACCAGAGUGAAUCAGGAGGUUCCACAGCC